UGAUUUUUCUGCUAAUACACACUAGAAGCAACAUCAUGAUUUGAACAAAUCGUCGUUUGCAUUAUGAAUAAUACAUAAAAACUGUUUGGGAAAUCUUUGAGAUCGACAUUGAAAUGCUUGUUGUGGCAAAUGAUUCAUAACAAAAAUUCAUUUAACUUGGAAAUUCACAAGUGCCGGCGCUACCGCGCUUAACGAUGUGGCAUUAUGGACUUGCCGACAUACAUAUUGUGGAAUAGAUGCUCUGCAAUUCCUACAGUGAAUGAAACAAUAUCGACUUGCCGAUAUACAUAUUGUGGAACAUGUGCAUUCUUGAAAGAAAUAACAAGGGUGAUGCUCUAAAAAUCGUACAUUGAAUCAAACAAUGUGGACUUGUCGACAUGCAUAUUGGGUAAUAUGUGCAUUCCUGAAGAAAAUAACGUGACAAGCAAUCGUGGGCCCUAACUGAAGAGAACCAUUUCAAAGAAUGGAACCAAUGUAUUCUUACCGUAGGAUUUCAAAGAGGCUGCUGCUUUUAUUAAAUUAGAAAUAAUCCUCACUCGAACAAUACAAUAUACCUUUGGUGCAUUUGGUGCAAAUGGAUUGGCUUGAAUAACUAAACACGUCAAGACGAGAACUGUUGGAAGAAAACCAGGCAAAUCAGAGGAUGCAUGAUUUCAAAUCCUAGAAUUACUAGUAAAUGGCUACCUAAUCAAAGACUUUGAAUCAAAUAUAGAGAAUACCGGCAAUGCAAAACAAAGAAUAUUAGAAAAACAUCAUUAGCUAUGAAAUAUGCUGCAGCUGGCUGCUACUGCAAUUCUUGGUCAACUCUCAAAAUAAAUGGAAGGCUCUCGUGCUUCUUGAUAGUGAAGGUUUCGAAAUAGACAAUGGAUGGAAGAGAAAAACCACACAUGAGUAGUACUACAUAUAUGAUACAAAAUUUAAUGCAAUUUAUUUUAUAUUCCAGUUGAAAGUGAU